rnacentral:rRNA from 1 species
UACAGGGGGUGCAAACGUUGCUCGGAAUCAUUGGGCGUAAAGCGCACGUAGACGGUCUGUUAUGUCGGAUGUGAAAGCCCUCGGCUUAACUGAGGAAGUGCAUCCGAAACUGGCAGGCUAGAGUACUAAAGAGGGUCGCGGAGUUCCCGGUGUAGAGGUGAAAUUCGUAGAUAUCGGGAGGAACACCGGUGGCGAAGGCGGCGACCUGGGUAGAUACUGACGCUGAGGUGCGAAAGCGUGGGGAGCAAACAGG